ACAAAGAAAAGAUCCAUCCAUCCAGAAAAGGCGUUUGCGUUUCGGACCUCUGAGUUUCUAUCACUCGUAGUCGUCUCUCUCUAUAUCUCUCUUUUAGGGCUUCGUUCUCUUCCGCUCUCAUUCUCUCUCCCACAACUGCGUAUAUUGUUGUUGUUUUUCUGCCUCCGAAGAAGAGAUUUCGUUACUUUUUAGAUCCCUAACUGUCAAACAUGGGUGAUGAAGGAGACAAGAUAUGUCCUCUCUGUACCGAGGAGAUGGAUUUGACUGAUAAGCAAUUGAAGCCUUGCAAAUGUGGUUAUGAGAUAUGCGUUUGGUGUUGGCAUAAUGUCAUGGACAUGGCUGAGAAGGAUGAUAUGGAGGGAAGAUGUCCUGCAUGUCGCACUCCCUAUGACAAGGAAAAAAUUGUAGAGAAGACAGUGAGAUUUGAAAGGUCUAUGGCUGAGAACAAUUCAGACAGAAGAUUAAAGCCACAGAAGGGGAAGCCUAAGUCAUCUGAUGGAAGGAAGAAUCUUAGCAGUGUCCGAGUUAUUCAGAGGAACCUGGUGUACAUAAUCGGGAUACCUUCUAGUUUAGCUGAUGAGGAUCUUCUCCAGCACAAGGAGUAUUUUGGUCAGUAUGGAAAGGUUAUGAAGGUUUCUAUGUCCCGAAAUGCUGGAGGGUCCAUACAAUAUUCUGCUACCAACACUUGUAGUGUAUAUAUUACUUACUCAAAAGAAGAAGAGGCUGUCCGAUGUAUACAAUCAGUGCAUGGCUAUGUCCUAGAAGAUAAACCCUUAAAAGCGUGCUUUGGAACCACAAAAUAUUGUCAUGCAUGGUUAAGAAAUACGCCUUGUAACAAUCCUGAUUGUCUGUAUCUGCAUGAAGUUGGCACCCAAGAAGAUAGUUUUACGAAAGAUGAAAUAAUUUCGGCAUAUACCAGGAGUAGAGUUCAACAAAUAACUGGCGCUACAAACAAUUCUCUGCGACGUUCAGGGAAUGUGUUGCCUCCUCCAGCAGACGAGCUAAUCAAUAUCAGUGCACCUACUUUAGAAAAGCCUAUACCCAUAAGUGUCUCAAAUAAUUCUUCAAGUCUUGGUAAAUCUUCGCCCCCCAGUAUGCCAAUUGUGUCCCCUGGAAGAUCUGUCUCUCUUCCAGCAGCAGCUUCAUGGGGAUUGCGUGCUUCAAAUGGACGUCCAUCUAACAUAUCGUCAGAUGGUUCAACUGGGUUUACUAAACAAAACUCUGAUGGGCGUGAUGAUUCGUUCCCUCCCAUGGUUUCAAGCACAAUUAGGGCUGCUACAGUGCAUACCGAAGUAGGAAAGAAACAUAGUGGCACAGAAGAUAAUCAUGCGGUACAUUCUAAUGGUAGAUCCGGGUUCCUGGAAAAUCGCAAACAAACUUCAGCUAGAGAUAAAACUACAACUGAUAAACCAGAGGAGGUUGCCCGAGAUGCAUUUCCUCCUCUUACAGCAUGUCCACCUUUAUCUGAGAACAGGGAAGCAGGCGUUGCAAAGCCAUUAAAAAAUUCUAAAGUACCUAAUAAAAAAGCUAGUACAUCGGCUUCAGGCAAGGGUGUGAGUGUUGUUAUCGAUGAAGCAACUCAGAGUUUAUGUUCUGGGAUUUCUUCUAUAGCCAUAGGUAGCUACACUGGCGCAGGAACUUUUAAAUCUAAUGAUCCAGUCUCUAAUCACAUUUCAUCUGGUUUACCUGGUAAUUCACUUGUUGCUAGUGAAAUUGCCAGCUCAUCUGAUGAAGUGUCUGUUUUAAAAGGACAAGUACCAUUAGUUCGGGGUAGUGAAGCUCAAGAAGGCGUGCAAGAUGUGAAUAGGCAAACAUUGAAGAUUCCAGAAGUUGGUGAGCAGUCAUCACAUUUGCCUUACUCAUCUGAUCUUCUUCAUGCUAUAAACAGUUCCAGCGGGAACAGCUGGGAAGGCGACCAGAGUUUCCCUUUGAGCAAUCAUCUCAGUGUUGAUAAUACAACUGUGCAGGCAGAUGUCGCUGAUGCUUCACUUCUAGCUAGAUCGAACGAGCUGUUAUCACCUAAUGGGUAUUUCGAGAGCAAGGUCAGCAGUUCUUCUAAUAUGGGAAGGACUUUUGGUCAUUCCAGACAUCCAUUGAAUGUUGAACCUGUUGGUUACUCAGGAAGUUGUAAUGAUAAAGGAUCAGGUGCUCUGAAAAAUAGUAGUGUGGAUAUGGGUGAAAGUAGCAUAAUCUCAAAUAUUUUUUCAAUGGACUCUGACGCAUGGGAUGUUUCAUUGGCAUUACCUCAAAAUCUUGCUCAAUUGUUUGGUGAAAAUGAGCAUGGCUCUCUCUCUAGUGCAUUGAAAGUGAAAAACAGCAACCAAUCUAGGUUUUCAUUUGCAAGACAAGAUGAUUUUGCAAACCAAGUACCUGGCUUGGAGCCUUCUUCAGGCAGCAAUAGUUAUAUGGGUAACUACUCUACUUAUCAGAGUUCCAUGGCAAACGGAGACUUAUACACCGAAAAGUGUCAACCAGGUUUUUCAUCCUAUAUUUUGGAGGAAGCAGACAUCUUUCCUGGUGGACAACCACUCACUUCACCAAUUUCAAGAGCUCCAAUAUCUGCACCUCCUGGGUUUUCGGUUCCCAGCAGAGCGACACCUCCAGGAUUUUCUUCUCAAGAUAGGCUGGACAUUCUAGAUACUGCUUCUGGAAAUCAUUCUUUUGAAAGUUCAAUGUUAAGAAAUCAGUAUUGGGGUCAGCCAAAUGGAAACCCUGUUAGUCAUGAAGACAUUGAGUUUUUUGACCCUGCAAUAAUGGCAGUCGGCAAAGGGCUGCUCCCUAAUGGGAUUAUUAAUGGCUCAAUUCCAGAUAUAAAGUCAACCUUCUCUCCUCAGGAUGAUCCUAGAAUUCAGCAGCUAUUAAUGCAGCAAUCCAUAUCUACGCAGCAGCAUUCUAGAUUUUUGGAUCAAUUUGGGAACGGCGAUAGAUUUUCUUCUCGUAAUGAUGUGUAUAGUGGUAUGCAUUUGAGAAAUCAAGAGCAACCCUCCUUUGUGCAGUCAUCUUUACAGUCUAGAAAUGCUGCUGCUCAUAUAUCUAAUGGUCAUUGGGAUGGAGGUCGGAAUGAGUUUCAAAGCAGAAAUGACCUUGUCCUGUCAGAGCUUCUUAGAAAUGAGAAUACACUUGGAUUUAACAAGUAUUUUCUUGGUCACGAGGAUCUGACGUAUCGUAUUCCAAGUUCAGGUGAUCUAUACAACAGAGCAUUUGGAAUGUAACUUUCUUUUGCUCGAGGCAAAAUUGUUUCGAGCAGGGUUCUGGCAUCUCGGUGGUGGAUGGAGCAAGAAGUGUGGUCAAUCAUAUCUGCAUAGCCCAACUGCUGUUUCAUUGCUCCUGGAAUGGGUGUUACAAUUCUAUACCUGGUGUCGUCGUGCACAUUACUUUGUUAUGGAAAAUCUUGGAAGGCUUGAGCUAAAUUGGGUAUUCUAAGCUAUCCGAUCACUUGGUUUUUGAGGUACCCGCAGGGAAAGCUUUUUCCAAAAAGGAUUAUGCAUUGGCAAAGAGAUUGAAAUGCUGUGUGAUUGAUUGACAACAGGAAUACUCUUGUGAUUGAAGGGGCUGAAGUCAAGUUGGAAAACCGAGAUAGGCCACCUUUACGCACAAAGCGGCUAUAUGUUUCGCCUAAGGUCUAGGUUUUUCAUCUAUUUUAGAUACAUUCUGUUUUGCACCCUUGCGUGGGGCUCUUGUGUAGAGUAGUGGCUGAUCGCAGUGGAUGAUAGAAGAUCCCUAAUGAAAGAAAGAAUUAGUUUACCUUAAUAGGAGGUUGUGUGAAUUUUUAGUUGGUUUUCUGUUAAUGAUAGAUGUGGAUAUAAUUUUUCUCCUGGAGUUUCACAACUAUUUUUUUUGUUUCUUUUGGCCAUUUGUGAACUGAAAACCCUUCAGUAAGUGACCACCCAAUUGACAUUUUCUU